AGUGAACGCUGGCGGUAGGCCUAACACAUGCAAGUCGAACGGCAGCACAGUAAGAGCUUGCUCUUACGGGUGGCGAGUGGCGGACGGGUGAGGAAUACAUCGGAAUCUACUUUUUCGUGGGGGAUAACGUAGGGAAACUUACGCUAAUACCGCAUACGACCUACGGGUGAAAGCAGGGGAUCUUCGCACCUUGCGCGAUUGAAUGAGCCGAUGUCGGAUUAGCUAGUUGGCGGGGUAAGGGCCCACCAAGGCAACGAUCCGUAGCUGGUCUGAGAGGAUGAUCAGCCACACUGGAACUGAGACACGGUCCAGACUCCUACGGGAGGCAGCAGUGGGGAAUAUUGGACAAUGGGCGCAAGCCUGAUCCAGCCAUGCCGCGUGGGUGAAGAAGGCCUUCGGGUUGUAAAGCCCUUUUGUUGGGAAAGAAAAGCAGCAGGUUAAUACCCCGCUGUUCUGACGGUACCCAAAGAAUAAGCACCGGCUAACUUCGUG
rnacentral:rRNA from 1 species